rnacentral:lncRNA from 1 species
CGGAAGUCUCCACUUGCAAAAUGAGUACCUCUCUUUGAAGGACCAGGUGUAGUCAGACAAAACUGAAAACCUAACUUAGUAGUGUGCACCUGUAACAAUAGCUGAAUGUUGGCCAAUCCCAGCAGCCAUGUUUCAGCCACUCAUAGACUGCUGAAUGUGCAAACUGCAUUCAAAUAAGGCAAACACCGAGUUGUAACUGAUCUCACUGUUUCUGUUCCUCACUUCUGAUUCCUAUGGUGUCAGAAGCAGGAUCUGAAGUGGAGCUUCUAGCGAGCCCCACCAGGAGCGCUGAGUGAAAAUACAAGGCACCUGCAGGACUCACUUGCAUCCAUUGAUCUCUCAGAGUGCCUGGAGAUGGUAGAACCCAAAGAUUGGAUUUUCUGAGAACAUCAGAGAAGGACUGUCCUUGCCAUCCACGCUACAGCAAAACUUUGGAGCCUUGAACCUUGGGUUCAUAACCUCACAACUGAGAAGGGUCCCUCCACACUCCUGGAACUAUACACCCAUUGGAACCCUUAAGUGAUUCACAUGAAUCUGAGGUACAGAUGGACUUCAAACUUACGCAGAAUAAGCUAUGAAAAUUGUGUUCAUGGAAUAUUAGAAGGAUCCUUUAACACAGCAGUCCCCACACUUUUUGGCACCAGGAACUGGUUUCAUGGAAGACCAUUUUUCCACUGACCUGGGGGUGGGGGCGAUGGUUUAGGGAUGAUUCAAGUGUAUUACAUUUAUUGUGUACUUUAUUUCUAUUACAUUGUGAUAUAUAAUAAAAUAAUUAUACAACUCACCACAAUGUGGAAUCAGUGACAGCCCUGAGCUUGUUUUCC